rnacentral:lncRNA from 1 species
ACUGGCAGGCACCGCAGGCCAUCGAUCGUCAGAAAGACACGGAGUUUGGCCAGAAUUAUCAGAGAAGAGUUUGGCCAGAGGGGUCAGAGAAGACUCCAGCGGAAAACCAUCUCCCCUGUGACUCCAGAAUCUUCUGAGAGCUACUUCUACUUAAUAAAACCUUGCACUCAUUCUCCAAGCCCACAUGUGAUCCGAUUCAUCCAGUACACCAAGUGUCCAGGGACAUCUAGAUGAUAGAAGUUCCUUCAGAUGGGUCCCUGGUGUGAGGGUGUCCUGUAUCAGACUGCCUAUUGAAGUUCAACCUGUGGUUCAAGACAGGAUCUCAUUCAGAAUACUACUUUCAUUCAGGCUGGAGUGCAGUGGCAUGAUCUUAGCUCUCUGCAACUUCCGCCUCCUGGGCUCAAGCGAUUCUCCUGUCUCAGGCUCCGGAGUAGCUGGGACUACAGGCAUGCGCCACAACACCAGGAAAAAACUUCUAGGGGAAUUGGAUGUGAAAAGUGUCCCUGGUCCUAUGAUCACAAAGAUUUGCAGCAAGGUCAAGACACAGAAGUAACAAAUGCUUCCAGCUUCAGCAAAUGGUGCCCCAUCUUCUGCAUGGGAAUACCCAUUAUUCCAAGCCUGUUUUCGGGGAAAGUGAUAGACAAUGGUGGUGCCCAGGGUGCAGGGAACAAAGGGAACUGGACAGAUGGAAAAUACGCAUUGGGGUUAUAAAAUACAAUUCUGCAGAGGUCCUUUUCCUCAGACACAACCUAGAAAAUGGCAAUGAAAAAGAUAAGGAAAAUUAAAGAGAUGAAAUCCAAGAUCAUUAGAAAGCUGUACAUACUGAUACAGACACCCAGGAACCUCAAAAUCACAGGAUACAAAGGGAGAAAAGCAGUAA